UACCAGCUCUCCGAGUGGUAGGGAUGAUUAUUGGGCUUAAAGCGUCCGUAGCCGGCUUAGCAAGUCUCCUGUUAGAUUCAGCGACCUAAUCGUUGAGCCGCGGGAGAUACUACUAGGCUAGGAGGCGGGAGAGGUCAACGGUACUUCCGGGGUAGGGGUGAAAUCCUAUAAUCCCGGGAGGACCACCAGUGGCGAAGGCUGUCGGCUAGAACGCGCUCGACGGUGAGGGACGAAAGCUGGGGGAGCGAACCGGAUUAGAUACCCGGGUAGUCCCAGCUGUAAACGAUGCGGGCUAGGUGUUGGGGUGGCUACGAGCCACUUCAGUGCCGCAGGGAAGCCAUUAAGCCCGCCGCCUGGGGAGUACGGCCGCAAGGCUGAAACUUAAGGAAUUGGCGGGGGAGCACCACAAGGCGUGAAGCUUGCGGUUC
rnacentral:rRNA from 1 species